rnacentral:rRNA from 1 species
AUUGAACGCUGGCGGCAUGCUUUACACGUGCAAGUCGAACGGUAACAGGUUAAGCUGACGAGUGGCGAACGGGGGAGUAAUGCAUCGGAACGUGCCCGGUCGUGGGGGAUAACGCAGCGAAAGCUGCGCUAAUACCGCAUACGAUCUAAGGAUGAAAGCGGGGGACCGUAAGGCCUCGCGCGAUCGGAGCGGCCGAUGGCAGAUUAGGUAGUUGGUGGGGUAAAGGCUCACCAAGCCAACGAUCUGUAGCUGGUCUGAGAGGACGACCAGCCACACUGGGACUGAGACACGGCCCAGACUCCUACGGGAGGCAGCAGUGGGGAAUUUUGGACAAUGGGCGAAAGCCUGAUCCAGCAAUGCCGCGUGCAGGAAGAAGGCCUUCGGGUUGUAAACUGCUUUUGUACGGAGCGAAAAGGUCUCCUCUAAUACAGGGGGCUCAUGACGGUACCGUAAGAAUAAGCACCGGCUAACUACGUGCCAGCCGCCGCAGUAA